GCUCCGGUGGCCUAGUGGUUAGAGCGUCUGGCUCGGGUGCUGGAGGUCGCAGGUUCGAACCACGGCCGAGUCA